GAGGAUGAGAACCUCCGGGGGCAAGAGGUUCGACCCGAGCGAAGCGAGAGAACGUUGCGUCAGCAACGGCCCGCAGGGCGAGUCAUCCUC
rnacentral:sRNA from 2 species